CAAACCUCUGGUGUAUCUGUUGUGCCGCCAGGCGCACCGCAGAGUAGCUAAGUUUGGUAAGGAUAAGCACUGAAGGCAUAUAAGUGCGAAACCUGCCUCAAGAUGAGACAUCUUUUAAGGGUCGUGGGAGAUGACCACGUUGAUAGGCUACAGGUGUAAAGUUGGUAACAGCAUAGCCGAGUAGUACUAAUUACCCGUAGAUUUAUAGCCU
rnacentral:rRNA from 1 species